rnacentral:rRNA from 1 species
CGGCGCGCCUAACACAUGCAAGUCGAGCGAGAACCGGAGCUUCGGCUCCGGGGNACAGCGGCGAACGGGUGAGUAACACGUGGAUAACCUGCCCUCGGCACCGGAAUAGCCCGGGGAAACCCGGAUUAAUGCCGGAUGGCCCCACAUCCCUGCGGGGAACGUGGGAAAAGGUAGCUUCGGCCUCUGGCCGAGGAUGGGUCCGCGGUGGAUUAGCUUGUUGGUGGGGUAAUGGCCCACCAAGGCGACGAUCCAUAGCUGGUCUGAGAGGACGAUCAGCCACACUGGGACUGAGACACGGCCCAGACUCCUACGGGAGGCAGCAGUGGGGAAUCUUGCGCAAUGGGCGAAAGCCUGACGCAGCGACGCCGCGUGCGGGAAGAAGGCCUUAGGGUUGUAAACCGCUUUCAGGAGGGACGAAGCCACUCGGGUGAAUAGCCCAGAGGGUGACGGUACCUCCAGAAGAAGCCCCGGCUAACUACGUGCCAGCAGCCGCGGUAAUACGUAGGGGGCAAGCGUUGUCCGGAUUCAUUGGGCGUAAAGAGCGUGUAGGCGGCCAGGUAGGUCGGUUGUGAAAACUGGAGGCUCAACCUUCAGAGGUCGACCGAA